GACGAACGCUGACGGUGUGCUUUAGACAUGCAAGUCGAACGAGAAAGCCCUUCGGGUUAGUAAAGUGGCGAACGGGUGAGUAACACGUGGGCAAUCUGCCCCUCGCAGGGGGACGAACCGGAGGAAGCCCGGCUAAUACCCGUAAGUUCAAGGGAGGCAUCUCCCCUUGAAGAAAGGUAGCUUCGGCCAUCCGGCGAGGGAUGAGCCCGCGGUGCAUUAGCUAGUUGGUGGGGUAACGGCCCACCAAGGCGACGANGCAUAGCUGGUCUGAGAGGAUGAUCAGCCACACUGGGACUGAGACACGGCCCAGACUCCUACGGGAGGCAGCAGUCGGGAAUCUUGCGCAAUGGGCG
rnacentral:rRNA from 1 species